UACGUAGGGGGCGAGCGUUAUCCGGAAUUACUGGGCGUAAAGCGCACGCAGGCGGUUCGCCAAGUUUGGAGUGACAGUUGUCGGCUCAACCGACAAAGGACUUCAAAAACUGGUGAACUUGAGGACGAGAGUGGAACAUGGAACUCCAGGUGUAGUAGUGAAAUGCGUAGAUAUCUGGAAGAACACCAAUGGCGAAGGCAAUGUUCUGGCUCGUUUCUGACGCUCAGGUGCGAAAGCCAGGGGAGCGAACGGG
rnacentral:rRNA from 1 species